UGGGAUAUAGCCAAGCGGUUAAGGCACGGGACUUUGACUCCCGCACUCGUUGGUUCAAAUCCAACUAUCCCAGCCA
rnacentral:tRNA from 1 species